CAAUAGCGUAUAUUAAAGUUGUUGCGGUUAAAAAGCUCGUAGUUGGAUUUCUGUCGAAAGCGGCCGGUCUCUACUAUGUAGGUGUAUCUGGUUCGGUUUUGGCAUCCUCUUGGGGAACGUUUCUGUGCUUGAUUGCAUGGGACGGAAUUCAAGACUUUUACUUUGAGGAAAUUAGAGUGUUCACGGCAGGCUAUCGCCUUGAAUAUGUUAGCAUGGAAUAAUAAUAUAGGGCAUGAGUUCUAUUUUGUUGGUUUCUAGUACUUAUGCAAUGAUUAAUAGGGACAAUUGGGGGCGAUUCGUAUUAACGCGUCAGAGGUGGAAUUCUUAGAUUGCGUUACGACGAACUACUGCGAAAGCAUUUGCCAAGGAUGUUUUCAUUGAUCAAGAACGAAAGUAUGGGGAUCGAAGAUGAUUAGAUACCGU
rnacentral:rRNA from 1 species